rnacentral:rRNA from 1 species
GACGAACGCUGGCGGCGUGCCUAAUACAUGCAAGUCGAGCGGACAGAUGGGAGCUUGCUCCCUGAUGUUAGCGGCGGACGGGUGAGUAACACGUGGGUAACCUGCCUGUAAGACUGGGAUAACUCCGGGAAACCGGGGCUAAUACCGGAUGGUUGUUUGAACCGCAUGGUUCAAACAUAAAAGGUGGCUUCGGCUACCACUUACAGAUGGACCCGCGGCGCAUUAGCUAGUUGGUGAUGUAACGGCUCACCAAGGCAACGAUGCGUAGCCGACCUGAGAGGGUGAUCGGCCACACUGGGACUGAGACACGGCCCAGACUCCUACGGGAGGCAGCAGUAGGGAAUCUUCCGCAAUGGACGAAAGUCUGACGGAGCGACGCCGCGUGAGUGAUGAAGGUUUUCGGAUCGUAAAGCUCUGUUGUUAGGGAAGAACAAGUACCGUUCGAAUAGGGCGGUACCUUGACGGUACCUAACCAGAAAGCCACGGCUAACUACGUGCCAGCCGCCGCGGUAA